AUGUGUCUCAGGGGGCUGGGUAGGCCUAGGCAGCACCCCCUCGUAGGCCUAUUCUGUCAGUGGGUUUGGGAGAGUUGAAUUUUCUACCAAAACAAAUCUUGGUCUUGAUCUUGAUGUCACAGGUGGCUCGGGAUUUCUCUCAGGCCUUUAAUUGUAUCGGUCUUGGAAGUGAGGGUUUGUAACGGGGCAGGAUUGGCUGAUUCUGUUUUGUUUUGUUUCUUCUUCUUCUUCUUCUUUAUUCUUCUCUUCUUCCUCUUCUUCUUCUUCUUCUUCUUCUUCUUCUUCUUCUUAAUUCUUCUCUUCUUCUUCUUCUAAUCCUCCUCUUCCUAAUUCUUCUUCUUCUUCUUCUUCUUCUAAUCCUCCUCCUCCUCUUCCUUCUCUUCUCCUUCUUCUUCUUCUUCUUCUUCUUCUCUUUCUUUUUCUUCUCUCUCCUCCUCUUCCUUCUUCGUCUUUUUCUUCUUCUUCUAAUCCUCCUCCUCCUCUUCCUUCUCUUCUCCUUCUUCUUCUUCUUCUUCUCUUCCUCCUCCUCCUCCUCCUUAUUUUUCUUUUCUUCUUCUUCUUCUUCGUCUAAUCCUCCUCCUCGUCCUUCUCUUCAUUCCUCCUCCUCCUCUCCUCCUCCUUCUUCUCCUCCUCUUUCUUCUCCUCCUCCUCUUCUUCCUCCUCCUCCUCCUCCCUCACCGUUACAAAGCCUACACCACAGACCGAGACCUUUUACUACAAACUCAUUGCCAGAAAAUUUAAAUGUCCCAGGCCUACGAGGGAGGGGUGCCUAGGCCUACCGAGCUCCCCCCAUGGAAACACUGUUGGACAUUAGGCCGAAAGGGAGGAUUCUGGCGGACGGAGAGAUGGGGGAGGAAGGGAACGGAAGGGGUGGUAGCUUCCCCUCCCUUCACCCCCCUGCCCAUGCCCCAGGGGUCCCGCACUGCCCCUGGGUACACACACACACCCUGGCACACUGCAACACCUAACCUAACCUAACCUAAGCUAAACAUCAUCUGCAACACUAACCUAACCUAACCUAACCUAACCUAUCCUAACCUAACCUAACCUAACCUAACCUAACCUAACCUAUCCUAACCUAACCUAUCCUAACCUAACCUAACCUAACCUAACCAAGAAUUCUUUAUCAGCCUGUUCAACUCCCCGCUUACAUUCCGUUCUUGGUUGCAGGAUUCUGGCGGAAGCUGGCGGACGGGGAGAUGGGGAAGGAAGGGAACGGAUGGGGUGGUGAUGUCCACUCCCUUCACCCCCCUGCCCAUGCCCCAGGGGUCCCACACUGCCCCAUGGGGUCUGGCGGAUGCUGUCGGAAGGAAGGGAACGGAAGGGGUGGUGGUGUCCCCUCCCUACCCAUGGAUGACGGCCCUCCCUUCACCCCCCUGCCCAUGCCCCAGGGUACCCCACACAGUCCAACGCAAUGGAGCACUUCGUCAAUGGUAAAUGAUGGAUAAGGAAGAGGAGGAGAGGAAGAGGAGGAGGAGGAGGAGGGAAGACGAACAGGAAGAGGACACAAGGAAAUGCUCUAAUGACCACAGUUUUUUAAGGGGACGAUAUAUUUCAACCCAUUUCUCUAAGGUUAUAAGGCUUGCAUCUAGCUAGGGUAUAUAUAUAUGACUAAUUAUUAAGGUGUACCAUUGGGGGGCUCGGUGGGGCGUGCGAAGGGUGCGAGGGGCAUACGCUACCUCUGUAAGGGGAGACAUAUAUAUUGCAUUGACAGGAUUGGAUACAGGGACAGGAUUGGAUAGUGGGACAGGAUUGGAUAGUGGGACAGGAUAUGAUAGAGGGACAGGAUUGGGUGGAGAUACAUGAUUGGAUAGAGGGACAGGAUUGAAUGGAGAUACAGGAUUUAAUAGAGGGACAGGAUUGGAUAAAGGGACAGGUUUGGAUAGAGGGACAGGUUUGGAUAGAGGGAGAGGAUUGGAUAGAGGGACAGGAUUGGAUAGGGGGACAGGGUGCUGAACAUAUGUGGGCCGUCCCUAUAACCACCUUGUAAAUGGCCCCACGCUGGGUAAAGAGAGACAGAUUGAGGUUUUCGAGUAUAAAAUAUCUCGCUCAUGGCUAAGGUCUAAGGUCUGAUGAAUUUGCGUAGGCUGUACAAAAUGUGUGUAGUGCUAUACAAAAAAAUUCAUAUAAAAUCAUCUAUGGUAGUGAGAAGAUUAAUCAUAUACUCAUUAGAUGUAAAAUUUAACGAGGAUUCCAAAUAUGUCUCCGGAAUUGACGUGGCGAUAGAAAUUACAGAGUUAUUAACAAAUUUGGGAAGGAUACCCACCUUGAAAAUGGCCCCUCGCUGGCUAAAGAGAGACAGGUUGAGGUAUUUCGAGUACUGAAUUUCUCGCUGAUGUCUGUGUUCUGCGUUCCUGAAUCUCUGGUAUUUUAAGGUCUAAGGUCUGAUGGAUGUGUUUCCCUAUACCCACCUUGUAAACAGCCCCUCGCUGGCUAAAGAGAGACAGAUUGAGGUAUUUCGAGUACUGAAUUUCUCGCUGAUGUCUGUGUUCUGCGUUCCUGAAUCUCUGGUAUUUUAAGGUCUAAGGUCUGAUGGAUGUGCGUCCCUAUACCCACCUUGUAAAUGGCCCCUCGCUGGCUAAAGAGAGACAGAUUGAGGUUUUCGAGUACUGAAUGUCUCGCUGAUGUCUGUGUUCUGCGUUCUUGAAUCUCUGGUAUUUUAAGGUCUAAGGUCUGAUGGAUGUGUGUCCCUAUACCCACCUUGUAAAUGGCCCCUCGCUGGCUAAAGAGAGACAGAUUGAGGUUUUCGAGUACUGAAUGUCUCGCUCAUGUCUGCGUUCUGCGUUCUUGAAUCUCUGGUAUUUUAAGGUCUAAGGUCUGAUGGAUGUGCGUAGGCUGUACAAAUUGUGUGUAGUCCUAUACAAAAAAAUUCAUAUAAAAUCAUCUAUGGUAGUGAGAAGAUUAAUCAUAUACUCAUUAGAUGUAAAAUUUAAUGAGGAUUCCAAAUAUGUCUCCGGAAUUGAUGUGGCGAUGGUAAUUACAGAGUUAUUAACAAUUUAGUGAAGGGUAUCCACCUUGUAAACGGCCCCUCGCUGGCUAAAGAGAGACAGAUUAGGGAUUUUCGAGCUAGUUUUUGACAUGGUAAAUGCAUAAAAAUCACCCUUAUCAAGGCUUAUAUCCAGUGUAACGUGUCCUCAAGGCUGUGUUGAUAUGGGAAAUGUAUUAAAAUCAGUCUUAUCAAUC